CUAGGGAUAAGCAACGUUUCCUUUUACUUUCAGAAAAAUAAAAGCCUCAUAUUUGCUAUUUAUUAAAAAAUCCCUGAAAGCAGCACUUCCACCGAGUUUGUUUUAGUUUGUUGGUAUUUAUUGGUGGAGCAGCAGCACGUUUUCCACAGUCAGUUUUACUGUCCGUUGUCUUGUUUUAAUCAGUUUUCAGUUCAGUAAUUCAGUCCUUUGACUGAUUGGACCAACAGACACUGAAGGACUCCGACAGCUGGUCAGUAAUAAAUGAUAAUUUACUGAUCGGUGCUGGUUUUAAUUAACUUCAUGUUCAACUUCAGAGUCAGAUAUAAUGUGAGCAGUGAACUCCAGGAGUUGGUGGAGUUUAUUUGUGUGUUGACCAGAGAAGAGAGUUAGCAUCCAGUGAACAUUAGCUUUAAUGUGAAUUAGCGAUGCUAACCGAGCUAGCUGACCAGUCCUGAUUAGCAGCUAAAUGUAGCAUCAAGCUAACGAUGUUUGUGUUGUUUCCUGUCAGCAGCUGAAGUGUGUUGUGUUCCUGUAAUGUGGUUCAUUAAGUUCAUAAAACUGUGGCUGGUUGACAUUAAUGUAACGUUCAGGAAACUUAAAUGUGAUUAAAACAGUAAUGUUAAUGUUCUAGUUGUCAGUAAUCAGCUUUAAUUUGACACUAAAACAGACUCUGAUAGUUUUAAAUGACAUCAAUUUCAUUAAUUUGUUGAAAAUUGUCUCAUUUGUUGUUGUGAUGUUGCUGCUGAUUCAUUAAAACCAGAUGAUCCGUGUUGAAGCCGCGUUUAGUUCUAGUAUCAGAAGUACAAGAAGGAAAAUGGAAGUUUAGUUCUGCUCUGUCAAAGAUUUCAGGAAUAAAAUAACUAAAUGAGUCUUUAUGCCUCAAACUUUAUUUUACAAUCAUGAAAUAAUGAAAUAAUCACAGAUAAUAAAAAUAUAAAUAGCAGAGAAAACCUGAGAGAAUAAUUUCCUGAAAAGUCUAUGAAGGAAAAGCAGCUUUUUAUCCUGAAAGAUCAGAAUCAGGUCCAACAUCUGCAUCUGACAGCAUCAAGUCAACCAGAAAGAAAAGAAAAAAGAAAAUGACUUCUUUCUGAUCACAUCUGUUCUGCUGCUCACAGUCUGCUGCUGCUCACAUUCUUCACAUUUAUAGUCCACUUUUAAAAGUUCAGCAGACAGGUGCUGUGCUUUGGAGUGUGACGAUGUUGUCGCUGAUGUGGAGAGUGAAGUUUCCGUUGCAUCUACAGCAUGCUUUAGGGCAGCCGGGUCGGACUUGAUGUUUGAAAUACUGACCAACAGCUCAGAUUUAACUGUCUGUAGUUCUGUUUUGAUGGAUGUUAAACUUUCACUCAAAGCCUCCAGGAGCUGGGUCUUUAAAAUAACCGCCGUCUCGUUACAGAGUGAAAGUAGCAGUUCCUCCUGAAGGUCAGAGAUUGCAGCAUCUGAGGGCCUCUUCAAAAGAAGACGGAGUUGAUGAAGGCGUUCUGGAGCAGGACCAGAAAGACCACGACCAAGCAGCCUUGAGAUCUUAGGCAGCGUCUCCCUCAGGUCCCUCUCUAUCUCCCCACACAUCCACCAACCACUGGAACACAUCUCCAAAGUUCUGCUGGACCAGCUCAGCUUCCCCUCAGAAGAAGUGCUGCCACCUGCCAGAUGAAGGAGCCUUUUGAGAGGCAGCUGGCAUCGUGAUUGGACUGUACUUUGGUCUGUUCCAAUCCAGCUUCAGCUCCAGAGACGGCAGGCGGGACGAGUCAACGGAGGCCUGGUGGACGAAGGCAUGAAGCUGAGUACAAUCCAGAAAACAACAGAGGAGGAGUGCAGCAGCCCAGAGCCAGAACAACCAGAGUAGCAUCGUAUGUCUCUUAGAAAACAUCAUAGUAUAGCCUUUGGGAUGAAAAAACACCAUCAUAUACAUCGUAGAUUGUACAAAUAACAAGUCAAAGGAAAGAGACAUACAUUGUAGAAUUGUAGUAAUUGUGGGCUGACUGAUUUACUGAUUAUCAGUAUUUUAUUUUUUACUGAUUUACUGUAAUAAAUAAAUUUAAAAAUG